AUGAUCCCAUGGUAUGAAGUUUUUUAGCAGUUGCAGCAUGGAUGGAUUUAAACGGAUAGUUCUGCAGCCUGAACUUAAAUGUUUUCAGGAUAAAACAGUUUCAAAAAUGACUUACCGAAAAUCUUCAACUUGUGGCAAUGGAAUUUUGGAACCUACAGAGCAGUGUGAUUGUGGCUAUAAAGAGUUGGAGUUUCACUCUUGUCACCCAGGCUUGAGUGCAGUGGCGUGAUCUCAGCUCACUACAACCUCCUUCUCCCGGGUUCAAGCGAUUCUCCUACCUCAGCCUCUGGAGUAGCUGGGAUUACAGGUACCUGCCACCACACCCAGCUAAUUUUUGUAUUUUUAGUAGGGACAGGAUUUCAC
rnacentral:lncRNA from 1 species